AACGAACGCUGGCGGCAGGCCUAACACAUGCAAGUCGAACGCUCCGCAAGGAGAGUGGCAGACGGGUGAGUAACACGUGGGAAUCUUCCUAUCGGUACGGAAUAGCUCAGGGAAACUUGAGGUAAUACCGCAUACGCCCUUCGGGGGAAAGAUUUAUCGCCGAUAGAUGAGCCCGCGUCUGAUUAGCUAGUUGGUGGGGUAAUGGCCUACCAAGGCGACGAUCAGUAGCUGGUCUGAGAGGAUGACCAGCCACACUGGGACUGAGACACGGCCCAGACUCCUACGGGAGGCAGCAGUGGGGAAUAUUGGACAAUGGGCGAAAGCCUGACGCAGCCAUGCCGCGUGAAUGAUGAAGGUCUUAGGAUUGUAAAAUUCUUUUACCAGGGACGAUAAUGACGGUACCUGGAGAAAAAGCCCCGGCUAACUUCGUGCCAGCCGCCGCGGUAAGAC
rnacentral:rRNA from 1 species